CGGUGAUCUAGCCAUGGGCAGGUUGAAGGUUGGGUAACACUAACUGGAGGACCGAACCGACUAAUGUUGAAAAAUUAGCGGAUGACCUGUGGCUGGGGGUGAAAGGCCAAUCAAACCGGGAGAUAGCUGGUUCUCCCCGAAAGCUAUUUAGGUAGCGCCUCGUGAAUUCAUCUCCGGGGGUAGAGCACUGUUUCGGCUAGGGGGCCAUCCCGGCUUACCAACCCGAUGCAAACUGCGAAUACCGGAGAAUGUUAUCACGGGAGACACACGGCGGGUGCUAACGUCCGUCGUGAAGAGGGAAACAACCCAGACCGCCAGCUAAGGUCCCAAAGUCAUGGUUAAGUGGGAAACGAUGUGGGAAGGCCCAGACAGCCAGGAUGUUGGCUUAGAAGCAGCCAUCAUUUAAAGAAAGCGUAAUAGCUCACUGGUCGAGUCGGCCUGCGCGGAAGAUGUAACGGGGCUAAACCAUGCACCGAAGCUGCGGCAGCGACACUGUGUGUUGUUGGGUAGGGGAGCGUUCUGUAAGCCUGUGAAGGUGUGUCGUGAGGCAUGCUGGAGGUAUCAGAAGUGCGAAUGCUGACAUAAGUAACGAUAAAGCGGGUGAAAAGCCCGCUCGCCGGAAGACCAAGGGUUCCUGUCCAACGUUAAUCGGGGCAGGGUGAGUCGACCCCUAAGGCGAGGCCGAAAGGCGUAGUCGAUGGGAAACGGGUUAAUAUUCCCGUACUUGGUGUUACUGCGAAGGGGGGACGGAGAAGGCUAUGUUGGCCGGGCGACGGUUGUCCCGGUUUAAGCGUGUAGGUGUGUGUUCCAGGUAAAUCCGGUUCACUUUAACACUGAGGCGUGACGACGAGGCACUACGGUGCUGAAGCAACAAAUGCCCUGCUUCCAGGAAAAGCCUCUAAGCAUCAGGUAACAUCAAAUCGUACCCCAAACCGACACAGGUGGUCAGGUAGAGAAUACCAAGGCGCUUGAGAGAACUCGGGUGAAGGAACUAGGCAAAAUGGUGCCGUAACUUCGGGAGAAGGCACGCUGACACGUAGGUGAAGUGAUUUACUCAUGGAGCUGAAGUCAGUCGAAGAUACCAGCUGGCUGCAACUGUUUAUUAAAAACACAGCACUGUGCAAACACGAAAGUGGACGUAUACGGUGUGACGCCUGCCCGGUGCCGGAAGGUUAAUUGAUGGGGUCAGCGCAAGCGAAGCUCCUGAUCGAAGCCCCGGUAAACGGCGGCCGUAACUAUAACGGUCCUAAGGUAGCGAAAUUCCUUGUCGGGUAAGUUCCGACCUGCACGAAUGGCGUAAUGAUGGCCAGGCUGUCUCCACCCGAGACUCAGUGAAAUUGAACUCGCUGUGAAGAUGCAGUGUACCCGCGGCAAGACGGAAAGACCCCGUGAACCUUUACUAUAGCUUGACACUGAACAUUGAGCCUUGAUGUGUAGGAUAGGUGGGAGGCUUUGAAGUGUGGACGCCAGUCUGCAUGGAGCCGACCUUGAAAUACCACCCUUUAAUGUUUGAUGUUCUAACGUGGACCCGUUACCCGGGUUGCGGACAGUGUCUGGUGGGUAGUUUGACUGGGGCGGUCUCCUCCUAAAGAGUAACGGAGGAGCACGAAGGUUGGCUAAUCCUGGUCGGACAUCAGGAGGUUAGUGCAAUGGCAUAAGCCAGCUUGACUGCGAGCGUGACGGCGCGAGCAGGUGCGAAAGCAGGUCAUAGUGAUCCGGUGGUUCUGAAUGGAAGGGCCAUCGCUCAACGGAUAAAAGGUACUCCGGGGAUAACAGGCUGAUACCGCCCAAGAGUUCAUAUCGACGGCGGUGUUUGGCACCUCGAUGUCGGCUCAUCACAUCCUGGGGCUGAAGUAGGUCCCAAGGGUAUGGCUGUUCGCCAUUUAAAGUGGUACGCGAGCUGGGUUUAGAACGUCGUGAGACAGUUCGGUCCCUAUCUGCCGUGGGCGCUGGAGAACUGAGGGGGGCUGCUCCUAGUACGAGAGGACCGGAGUGGACGCAUCACUGGUGUUCGGGUUGUCAUGCCAAUGGCACUGCCCGGUAGCUAAAUGCGGAAGAGAUAAGUGCUGAAAGCAUCUAAGCACGAAACUUGCCCCGA
rnacentral:rRNA from 2 species